rnacentral:rRNA from 1 species
CACGAAGUUAGCCGGGGCUUUUUCUGAUGUUACCGUCAUCAUCGUCACAUCUAAAAGAGUUUUACAACCCGAAGGCCUUCAUCACUCACGCGGCAUGGCUGGAUCAGAGUUUCCUCCAUUGUCCAAUAUUCCUUACUGCUGCCUCCCGUAGGAGUCUGGGCCGUGUCUCAGUCCCAGUGUGGCUGAUCAUCCUCUCAGACCAGCUAUGGAUCGUAGCCUUGGUGAGCCAUUACCUCACCAACUAGCUAAUCCAACGCGGGCCAAUCCCUAGGCGAUAAAUCUUUGAUCCGGAGAUAUUAUGCGGUAUUAGCGUCCGUUUCCAGACGUUGUUCCGCACCUAAGGGCAUGUUCCCACGCGUUACGCACCCGUGCGCCGCUCUCUAUUGCUAGAGCGCUCGACUUGCAUGUAUUAGGCCUGCCGCCAGCGUCGUUCUGAGCCAGGAUCAACUC